UGUGGGGUCCUUAGCGCGGUGGUCCCACCUGACCCCAUGCCGAACUCAGAAGUGAAACGCCGUAGCGCCGAUGGUAGUGUGGGGUCUCCCCAUGCGAGAGUAGGGAACUGCCAGGC
rnacentral:rRNA from 1 species